UACAGGGGGGGCAAGCGUUGUUCGGAAUUACUGGGCGUAAAGGGCUCGUAGGCGGCCAACUAAGUCCGACGUGAAAUCCCAAAGCUUAACUUUGGAACUGCGUCGGAUACUGGAUGGCUUGAAUUCGGGAGAGGGAUGCAGAAUUCCAGGUGUAGCGGUGAAAUGCGCAGAUAUCAGGAGGAACACCAAUAGCGAAGGCAGCUCGCUGGGACGGUACUGACGCUAAGGCGCGAAAGCGUGGGGAGCGAACAGG
rnacentral:rRNA from 1 species